CCUACGGGUGGCAGCAGUGAGGAAUAUUGGUCAAUGGGCGCAAGCCUGAACCAGCGAAGCCGCGUGAGGGAUGACGGUCCUAUGGAUUGUAAACCUCUGUUGCCGGGGAGCAAAGCGCCGUACGAGUACCGGGAAGGAGAGUACCCGAAGAAAACGCAUCGGCUAACUCCGUGCCAGCAGCCGUGGUAAUACGGAGGAUGCGAGCGUUAUCCGGAUGUAAUGGGUUUAAAGGGUUCGUAGGCGGAUUAGUAAGUCAGCGGUAAAAAUGCGGUGCUCAACGCCGUAUCGCCGUUGAAACUGCGGGUCUUGAGUGAGCGAGAAGUAUGCGGAAUGCGUGGUGUAGCGGUGAAAUGCAUAGAUAUCACGCAGAACUCCGAUUGCGAAGGCAGUAUACCGGCGCUCAACUGACGCUGAGGCACGAAAGCGUGGGGAUCGAACAGGAUUAGAUACCCUGGUAGUC
rnacentral:rRNA from 1 species